CCCAUGCUAUUAUGGUGAUAGUGAGUAUGUUCUCACAAGAUCUGAUGGUUUUAUAGGGUUUUUUCCCCCGUUCACUCUACACUUCUCUUUCUCCCUCCUGCCACCAUGUGAAGAAGGACGUGUUUGCUUCCCCUUUCACCGUGAUUUUGUUUCCUGAGGCCUCCCUAGCCAUGCCGAGAGACAGUCUAAUUACUGUAGUGGGAACUUUCAUCAGCCAUCACGUAUUGCAUCUAGAAGCGCUGGAA
rnacentral:lncRNA from 13 species